UACGGGGGGGGCAAGCGUUGUUCGGAAUUACUGGGCGUAAAGGGCUCGUAGGUGGCCAACUAAGUCAGACGUGAAAUCCCUCGGCUUAACCGGGGAACUGCGUCUAAUACUGGAUGGCUUGAGUUUGGGAGAGGGACGCGGAAUUCCAGGUGUAGCGGUGAAAUGCGUAGAUAUCUGGAGGAACACCGGUGGCGAAGGCGGCGUCCUGGAC
rnacentral:rRNA from 1 species